CGGCAAUUCGGUAAGGAACGAAUUAGGCCUCUCUCUCAGUCUCAGUCUCAGAUGGAUGCUUCGAUCGGGAAACGCUUAUUCUCUUUGAGAUUCGAAUUAGCCACCUCAUUUCGAUCAUAAAAUCGGCCGGUCGAGGAUUUGAUUGUGCUCCAGCAGCUCAAGCAUGAAGCAACUAGCAUGAUGAAGCAGAUAGAGCAUCUUGAAGUUUCUACAUGGUUCACAAACUUGUCAUAUAUAGUUUUCGAAAGCAUCUCUUAUACUUGCAUCUGUAAAUGGCUCAGGAAAUUGUUGGGAGAGAGUCUAGAACUACGCACCAUUGAAGAUUUCUUGCAAAAGUUGGAGAGGAGUGCGAACUGCAUUUGAGCAAGGAAGAAACAGGUUUUCAAGGAACAGAUUGAGUCAUUGAGCAACUGAGAGAAAAGGUAAAUUUCUACAGUACUACCGUCAUUUACGGGAUAUGCGGGCCCCAAACUCUGUGUGUAGACACACUUAUUUAGGUCCACCAAAAUUUGUCUAUAGUACAUGUGACAGCAGCUUGCUGGUUAAAAAUAAAUAAGGUUUUUGAAUGUUUAAAGGCUUUAAUAUAACGUUCUAAACAGUUAUUUUCAAAAAUAAAUAAAUAUAGCAAUUACGGUCCGUGUGUGGCCUAUAAUACACCUAAUCAUAUAUACAUUUCAUAGGAGUAAAAUUAAUCUUUUUCUGAAGACUUUUUCCUAUUGGGACAUCCAUAUAGGCCUUAUUUGAAUUUUGAGGAAUUUUCUAUCAGCUUCAGUUUUACCAUUCAGAAAUGUCGAGCCCUUUAUACAACCACAGGUGCAUGUUUGAUUUUGCGUGCUAGGGUGGGUAAUCCACUGAGGCCUAUCUGAUAACUUGAGGAAAGUUUGAUAGAUAGAGUCAAUGAUACAACAUCUCAGGGCUGCUAAGUGCAAACGAUAAACGUUAAAGUUGAUUAUAAUGAGAGGCACCACAAAUUGGAAGAAAUCAACAGUGUUUGGGAUUUGGCUUUGGAUGAGGCAAUGAGAAGAAAAUGGAUGAGAAUACCAACACUGCCACUGGUUUCAUGUUGCCUCAUACCGGAAUGUUUUGAUACCACUGGCUACAGUCUGACAAUCUUCUUCUCUACACUAAACAGCCGCCGCAUCAUCUCUUGCAACAGUCCAGUGCUGUUAACAAAAGACUGGUGAGAGAAUGCUCCCAAGACUGACUAUUUGUGAACCGAACACAAUCGGAUGCGCUUAUUUUCUAUUAAAAAGUUUCUGAUAAUUUUGUUUUGAUAUUUUGUUCUGAUAAUAGGAGUACCCUGUGUUUGGUAGUUCUAUUCAAGUCAAAAUGUGUUUUCUGCACUUUGCUCCUGCACUGGGCUUUAGU